UCANUUAUUUUUAGGUAAAUCCAAGGAAAAUAUUUUCCAUAAUACUAAACACACUCAAUUUUAAAAACAGAAAGAAUAUUGUAUGUACAUAAUUAUUUUCUAGGAAAAAAAACGAACAUAGACAGUGGAAGUCCACACUUUAUUAUAUCCUUAUUCUUUCACACCUAGUUUAAUCAUCUAAAACAAUAAGCAAUAAAAUGCGGUGACAAAUCAUGGUUGGUGCAACAGUGGCUAAAUGAUCAUGUCGAAAUUUCAAAAAAGUCAUCAUCCUCGAGCAUGUUAACCCAUGUCUCUAUUCCCUCCCCACAUUUUGUACCCAUAAAGAUGACCACAUUCUUAAAAGGAAAAGUUGUAGUACAUACCCAUACUGGCUUUCCCCAUCCAAAAUCCACUUCAUACACAGGAAAUCUACACCAACUGCUAAAAUUAUAAAACUCAACUUCCUCCUUCGAGAAUAGCUCUGCAAAUUUACUUAUAUGUUUCAAAAACUCUUCCCCGUUUUGUAAUAUCUCAGUAUAGUCACUGUUAAUUUUUCUUAUUGCACUUCUCAAGUGGUAUAACAAAUCAUCAAUUCCGAAUAUUUCUUCACUUUUUGGACUUAAGAAUGCUGGUGCAGUUGUCCAAAGGUUCCCAAAGGAGUUGUCUGAUAGGGUUGGAUUCAUUCGCGAUCUUAUAUUCACUGCAUGCACCGCGGCAAACAUCUUCGUAGAGUCUUUGUUCAACUUUGAAACUUUCAUUAAGUUCUUCCAUAAAAAGGCCGAGAGAGCUUCCACGCGAGUGGGAUCCUUCACUUAUGAUCCUGAAGCCGACUUCUUGAUUGCAUCAAGCUUUUCCUUAUUAAAAACAAAUCUUCUUGACAGAAAUUUAUCGUUCUUUAUUCCGAUAGAUGGUUUGAAACUUGACUUAGACAAGUCUAAUGGUGGAAAAAUACUUGACAGGUGAAAAUUAGGUUGCGCAAUUCCAGUGUGAUUUCCCCGAGCAAUGGCUGCCCAUGCAUUGAUGAACGUUACUAUGGACGAACCGUCACCAACUUUGUGAGACAUGCACACACCAAUGGCAAUUCCUCCACAAUUAAAUAUAUUAACUUGGACUGCUAGAAGAACAUCAUUAUUCUCUACCUCACAUGCUUCUCUUGGGAGAAAUUCUCUUACUUCUUCCGUUUUUGGAGUUUCUAUAACUUGUGAAAGGUAACCAUGAACUUGAGCUUCAAUAAACUCGGCUCCAGCAUCAUUGCAAUCAAUAAAAUUGUUAUCAUUGAACCUUCCGGCCAAUGGGUAGAAUCGCGUUAAAGCAUCGGAUAGAGAUUUCUUCAGGAUCUGUAUAUUUCUUGAACGAUUGAUAUUUCCAAGUUCAUCUUGGUAGAAGAAAAUUAGAGGGAUGAAAACUGGGGGUGAAAUUUGAUCGAGAAGUGAUAGUUUGUGGGUUUUAAGGGUACAAGUUGUUGGAGAUGAUGGUUUGAUCAUUUCUUUGGAUAUGAUCUCCACUAUGGCUGCCAUCUCUUAUGCUUUUAUGAUUCUUUCAAGAAUAGUUUGUUCUACUUGGAAAUGCAGGCUACCACACAAAUAAAGAGUGCUUUCAUAGUGAUAUAUAUAGAAAUAUAUUGUGGGUGCUAGGCUUGAUGUCAACAUAUCCAAAUUUACCAAACAUAUUUGACUAAGUUGAAUAUUAACCAAAGGAAAUAAAGCACAUAUCAACUUUUCUUUGAAUUAUUCUAGCUUUAAUAAUAUUGUCAAAAUAAGAGUAAUCUUGAUACUGUUUGACAACCAACUAUUAAUUUCACUAUCAAUGGAAGGUGGAAGAAAUAAAAAACAUUUAUCAUAUGUCCAUGAUUACGGAUUAGGCCUUUCAUCACUAGCUACAUUUACAAUAGUUGAUUCGAUAAAUACAUGAUCAUAGAAGCUCCACUUGUCAUGUUUCCACAAGAAUACAGUAAUACUACAACUACAACAACAAACAGUAAUUAUACCUCAAUCCCGACUAUGUUGGUGGAAGCUCCAUGGAAGCACAAAGGAGUGGUGGCAUCUUAGAGGACUCCAGAGAGUCCUAGGAAGCUGCCUAGGUUGGCCAAAUGGGCUGUCAUACAAGCUACAAGAAGCUAGCAUUCAAUAGAAGGUUCUAGAAUGGCCUAGCGUGGCCAUGCCCUUGGGCAAUAGGGGCUGCCCAAUGCCCCACCUACUUAGGGGCCUAUUCCACCGACUUUAAGGCUUCAAGAACUCUCCUAUAAAAAUAAGGUUGGGUAAAAAAUAUGAAUCCUCAUUCCUUUCAUUUACAACAACAACAACAAUAAUAAUAAUAGAAUUUUUCUACCAUAUCUAAAGCAUAUUGCCAAUUAGUAGGUAUCACCUAUAUGGAUUUUCUCUUUCGCCGAUGUGAGCACGUGAUUUUUGCCUAAAUAUGAAUCACUCCCAAAAAUUCAAAGCGAAAUAAUUUUUCCACUGCUUGCAAUUUCGUGAAUUUUUGUAGCAUUUUGUUAUUGUUUACAUUUGUCUGUGCAUGUUUAUUUUAUUUAAUUAGUGAAAAAUAGAAAAAUACGUUGCAUUUGCAUUUAGGAUUUAAUUUUACAUUUGUUAGACUAAUUAGCAAAUUAGUUUUUUAUAAAAAUGGAAAAAUAAAAAAUAAAAAAUUUAUUUUCACUUUUAAUUUUAGCUUCGAAUUUUUGUAGUUCCCUUUGAUUUGGUUUUUAAUUAAUUGUGGUAAUUAAUUAAUUUAAGUUGUUAGGAUUAAUUUAAUUUAGGAAUUAGUAUUGGUUUAUUUUUAUUUCAAAAAAAAAGAGAAAAAAGGAGAAGAAAAGGAAAUUAAAAUAGAGUCAAUCAUUUUCUCGAUUCGGGAUUUGAACCGGUGACUGGGGACACCCUAAAUUAUCCCAAGUGGCGACUCUGAAUUUCUUAAUAUAAAUAAUCCCGUUUCGAUUGUCACUUUAAUUGAAAAAAAUUCCCUUAUAUAUCCCUUUUCGGGGGUGUAGGAAAAAGGAGGUGUGACAGCUCUGGCGACUCUGCUGGGGACCGAACCCAGAAUCUCUGGUUCAGGGUUCAGAAUUCUAGCUUAGAUGAAUUAUUAUAUUUGGCUUUAUCUAUUAUCUGAUUUUAUUACAUGUUUGGGCCUAAUAAGCUCGAAUCUGAUGACUUGUUAUAUUUGACUUUGGAGACUCAACACAUGGGUUGGGUCUGUCUAGGACAGGUGUACCCGAAAUGAAAAGACUAUUCUGAUGCAUCUUACUUGCUACUUGUGCAUUCAUUUGCUUCGGAUUUGCAUGUUGACCGGCUUAUAGGGGAAAGGUUGAGAGAAGGAAAGUCAAUGUGAGGGCGUAGAGAGAUAACUGUCUGUUUUUGAAAAACUAAUGUCUGAAAUAUACUGAACCCUGAACAUUUGGUUUUUGUUUCGUCAAAAUUGCCCGAACUACGCUAGUUUGAUUCUCACCGGAUGUGGGAUACGUAGGCAACCCCCAUCGGGUCCAAAUUCCCUUUUGCAAAAAUAGACCAAAAAGAACAAAAAUUUUAUUUUUAUUUUAAAUAAGCAAAGUGAUGCCAUUUUUGUCUAAAAUAGCCGAAUGUUCCCAAAAGGACGUCGAAAGGCUGUUUUUGCAAGAACAUCCACCUUUGGUCCCUUUUCGAAUUUUUGGCCGGUUAGCAAGCACAACCUUAAAAUCUUCUCCCUGGAAGUGCUGUAAGGCCGUAUUUUCAAAGCCGGUUUUUAUUUUUGAAAUGACAAUUGAAAAAAAAUAUAUUAGCUUUUCUUGAGUCAAAUGAGUCAUGAUUUUGAUUAAUCACCCUAAUAAAUGUAUAGAAUGAGCACGAGUCAAUGUUUUCCAAUAACUGUCAUGAACAAGAUCCCUUUGGAGCUGUGUAUGUGGUGGGAAGAUCUGGGUAAAUCAGGGCAAGAUAAGGUCAAUCUUUACUUGGGAGGUCUCACUGGGUUGUUGAAGAUCAGGCCUAAAAGAGAUAUCAUAAAGGCGUUGGUUACAUUCUGGGACCCAACCCACAACGUGUUUCACUUCUCAAAUUUUGAACUCACCCCAACUUUGGAAGAAAUAGCCGGAUAUAUUGGGAGCACUGAGGUUCCUAUGAGACACAAAUAUCUGAUUGCUCCAAGAGUCGUCGCUGUGCACAAGUUCCUAGAUUCCUUAAAGAUAAGCAGGGGGAUCCACAACCCAGAUUUGGCAGCUAGUUUUUCUACUCCGCAGUUUAUAUACCAGUGAUACGGACACAUAGGAGGAUUUAAUAAUCCAGAAAGCAAAAUUUGUAGCAAAGGGAAUCGCCUCAAAUGGGAAGAACACAUGUGCUUUUCCUUUAUGGUGGUAUUCUUGGGUCUUAUGGUGUUUCCUAGGAAAGAUGGAAAUAUCGAUAUACGGAUAGCUGUGGUCGUCAGCACUUUGCUUACUCAGGACAAAAGCACCCUCGCACCCAUGAUAGUGUCUGAAAUCUUCCGCGCUCUCACAGCCUGCAAAGCCGGAGGAGACUUUUUUGAAGGGUGCAACUUGUUGCUUCAGAUGUGGAUGAUUGAACAUCUAUGUCAUUGUCCUCAAUACAUGAGCUAUUGGUCAACAGAGACAAACUGCAUAGAGGAACUUUAUACAAGGGUCGACGGGUUUAGCCUGCCAGAAGGGGUCAUAGAAUGGAUAUCACAUCUCCGUUCCAUCACUGCAGACCAAAUAGAAUGGACGUUCGGGUGGCUUCCUAUAGAUGAAACCGUAUACAUGCCAGCUAGCGGACCUCACUUCCUCCUGAUGGGUCUCAGAAGUAUCCAGCCUUAUGCCCCACACCGGGUUUUGAGACAGCUGGGGAGAUGUCAAAUAGUUCCAAAAGAUGACGACCUUAGUGCUCAGGUAGUCGAGAUUGGUCCUGAUGGUCAGUUUCAUGAAGCAGCAGUCCGCCAGAUCUGGAGCGAGUGUCAGUACAGGACGGCAAAUACCUGUGUGCGUGAUCUAUCAAAGGUGAAGUUUCACCAGGGUACCUUGCUUGGUAUAAAAGGGAAAUUGAGUUUGGAAGGCUAGCCAAAAAACCCCCAUCUUCAAGAAUUUGUCGAGGUGUCACAAGCGCAAUGGGAUUGGUUGGCCAAAGAAAAUGAGUACAGGGCCACCAUAAGCAAGCUGGAGAAGCAAGUCAAGGACCUUCAAUUUGAGAAUGGUUUGCAAGUCUCUGUGGAUGCGGGUGAGAAGAAAAAGCUAGCCAAGGAAAAUGAUGCCCUUCGAGCCCAGAUUCGGGAAAUGAAAAUAGCAGCUGAAAAUCCUGCCAGACGUGCAAAAGAUGAAAAUCUUAUAAAGAAACUUAGGCAGAAGGUGAGUGAGUAUGUUUUUGAUUUGAAUAAGGCAGAGGGUGAAUUGGCAAGAGCUCGAACAAAUUGGCUAAAAAUGCGGAGGAAUGAGAUCGCUUGGUUAAAUAGUUAAAAGAGAAAUAUGACAAUGAGGUUGUGGGGUUGAAGAAAAGGGUCACCAUCUUUGAGAAUAAAAUGUUCAAGCAGGCGAAAGACUUUAAGGCUGAAAGAGAACACUGUUAUGCAGCAAUGGCACAGUUAAAAAGAGAUUUGCAACAACUUCAAAAAUAGAAUCAAGUAGCUGAACAAACUUUGGAAGCUAGGGCCCAACAGAUUGGGCGUUUGUUGCAAGAAAAGGGCGUCAUAAGAGAAAGGGUCAGAAGGAUCACUGACUACAUCACAAUGAAAUGCAGUAAGUGUGAGGACAUGACUAGAUCCAUAUUCUUCGCCACUAUGAUGACUUUUGUCCGCCAGAUAUGGAAGAUCUAUACCACCUCCAAGGGGAAUUAGCACGUAGCCCCGUGGCGAGAACGAAUGAUGUCCCACGGGCCCUAGGAGCAGUUGAGGCAUUGAUAUAUUCAUGAUUUUCAUUGGAGUCUAUUAGUCUGUUUUCGAGUUUGUAUUUUCAUUUUUUCUGUUAGAGUCUGCUAGUUUGUUUUGAGUCUGUAUUUUCAUUUUUCCAUCAGAGUCUAUUAGUUUCCUUUUUGAGUCUGUUAGAUUUUGAGUCGUUGUAAUCAAAGCAUUUUCUUUUAUGAAAAUUUGAAAAUCCCAAAAUGUUUUAUUACUUAUUUUUACAUUUAUCCCCCAGAACUACGCUUGGUCUAAUUCAUGCGGGGUCAUGAUACGUAGGCAAUCUCCAUAGGAUUCGAUCAUAACCAAAAGAAAAAAAAGAGAGAAAAUAAAAAGAAAAAGAGAGGAAAAACAAGAGAGAGAGAGAAAAAGAAAAGAAAAAGAGAGAGAAAACAAGAAACUGUGCGGAGAAAACAAUGGCAAAACAAGAGAGAAAAAUGAGAGGAUAAAGAAC
rnacentral:lncRNA from 1 species